CCUACGGGAGGCAGCAGUGGGGAGUCUUGCGCAAUGGGCGAAAGCCUGACGCAGCAACGCCGCGUGCGGGAUGAAGGCCUUCGGGCUGUAAACCGCUUUCAGCAGGAACGAAAAUGACGGUACCUGCAGAAGAAGGAGCGGCCAACUACGUGCCAGCAGCCGCGGUGACACGUAGGCUCCAAGCGUUGUCCGGAUUUAUUGGGCGUAAAGAGCUCGUAGGCGGUUGAGUAAGUCGGGUGUGAAAACUCUGGGCUUAACCCGGAGACGCCAUCCGAUACUGCUCUGACUUGAGUUCAGGAGGGGAGUGGGGAAUUCCUAGUGUAGCGGUGAAAUGCGCAGAUAUUAGGAGGAACACCGGUGGCGAAGGCGCCACUCUGGACUGAAACUGACGCUGAGGAGCGAAAGCAUGGGUAGCAAACAGGAUUAGAUACCCUGGUAGUCCAUGCCGUAAACGGUGGGCACUAGGUGUGGGUUCCAACUAACGGGAUCCGCGCCGUCGCUAACGCAUUAAGUGCCCCGCCUGGGGAGUACGGUCGCAAGACUAAAACUCAAAGGAAUUGACGG
rnacentral:rRNA from 1 species